UACGUACCUGGAUCUGUGGGCGGGGGGAAUAUCAUGGGGCAGGCACUGGGGGGCACAAUAUCCCAAAUAGCCGUAUUUGCAUCACAACCCUUGGAUGAGGUGAUUGCCCAACGUCGCCCAUCAUCAUCCCGGCAGGUUAAGUCCAGGAUGCCAUCCCCGUCACAGUCUGCACUCUGCAGGACUGCGGUGUCGUGGAUGCACCACCCGGAUGGCCUGGUGCAUGAAGCUGCGGCAAAAAAAAACAGCAACGAUAAUAAUUGAUCAAUGCCAGAAGCAGAUAGGGCAGGUGGCCUAGCUAGGAAAGGCCACAUGAAGGGUGGAGGCCAGACCAGCUGGAAAUGAAAGGCCAGGCAGUGUAACUACGAUUUCUGGACGCAUCGAGCAGGUCGGUGCCACAAAGAGACUCAGGGCUUGCUUGCCAGCAGCCGUAGGAUAACCGUACAUGCAUGCAUGCAUGCAUGCCACCAAUACAUUCGGUGAUUGAGCAUAGCUAUGCGCUUGCAUGCAUGUUUUGUGCGAUUGGGCAUAUGUAUACAGUUGCCAAAUGUGAUGCCUGGGGGGCUUCAGGUAAGGUGCACACACUGCUGCAAUUCACUGCUCCGAAGCAAGUGGGGUUGAACAAUGAUAUGCUAUGAUAAUUCCGAGGGGCAAUGCCGGUUCGAGGGAAUUCCCUCGAACCAUCUCAAUUUCAUCGCAACGGCUGGGUUAUUACUACGUACCUGGAUCUGUGGGUGGCGAGAAUAUCUUGGGGCAGGCACUGGGGGGCACAAUAUCCCAAAUAGCCGCAUUUGCAUCACAGCCCGUGGAUGAGGUGAUCGCCCAACGUCGCCCAUCAUCAUCCCGGCAGGUAACAUCCAGGGCGCCAUCCCCGUCACAGUCUGCACUCUGCAGGACUGAGCUGUUGUGGAUGCACCACCCGGAUGGCCUGGUGCAUGAAGCUGGAACUGCGGCAAAAGCCAGCAACGAUAAUAAUCGAUCGGUGUCAGAAGCAACAGAAACAUUUCUAGAUGCAUGGAGCAGCAGGUCGGUGCCAUAAGGAAACGCAGCUCGCCUGCCAGGGUUUUAAAACCCCUAGGGCGCCUGCCAGUAGGACAAGUUGGGUGUCGGCUUCAAGGAAGCCGGAAAAAGGGCGGGGCCCCUCUGCAUCCGUACAGGCCGGUAGCAAAGGUGGCAAGUGUGACAAUUGAUGGGUAGUGUCAACGCGGUGGGAGAUGUGCUUUGUUGCAGCAGUGCUGAUGGUGUGAGAGCUAAGCUUGCACCGGCGAAAUCGUCAGCACCGCCUGAGGGCUCCACGCGAAUCGCAUCCAUUCCGGGUGCAUGCCGCAUGGACAGUGCGGCAGACCGCAAGUCGGAAUGCCCGUGCGGGCAAAUGGUAACGAAAGCUGGGUGAAUUUCGGUGCUGUCUGUGAUGUUUAUCCCCGAAGCGCCAGCGGCCUCAGCAAUCCGCCCCACAGCCGCGGGCUUCAUCGGGGCACACCGCAAGUCUCAGGAGGCCCCGUGCAUUGGCCAAAGUAAAUGUACAAACAAGCAGCUUGUGUAUUUCAUAGAGAAAUGAAAGUAAAUUAUGUUGGCCUGCUGGUGGCAAGUCGGAUUGCCCAUGCCGGCAAAUGGUAACACAAGCUGGGUGUUCGAGUUAUCAUACGCUGUCAUCUCGGAAAUCAAUUAUGAGAUACACGGCACCUUUUGAGAUGAAAUAUAGCCCGAGAGGUGUUGAUGUGACUUUUGAGGUCGGUGAAUGGAGGCAGCUAAACUUGUUUGUGCUCAUACGGUCUUUGUUAGCUACAUGCGAGAUACCUUGCAAUAGAGAAUGCUGUAUAGUACCGAUAACGCGUUUCAGCCGGGCGAGAUAUUAUGUUUGGUCCGUUACAGACACACACACACACACACACACACACACACACACACACACACACACACACGGACAUGGGCAAUCCUACAGGUCGGGGCCCCCCUGGGCGCUUCGCGCUGGGGCCCCGCCCAAAAACCGUACAUGUGUCUAUGCCACCGAUACAAUCGCGGAUUUAGCAUAAUUAUGCGCUCGCGUGAAUGUGUUGUGUGACUGGCUGGGCAUAUGUACAUGCUCAUACAGUUGCUAAAUGCGAUGCCUGAGGGGCACUGCAAUUACUCCCGCCCUUGCUUGCUUACAGGAUCUCGUAGGUUGAAGCAUGAUAUGCUACAUACGAUGAUUCCCCUGAACCAUCUCAGAUUAUUCAUCACAUACAACUGCUGGGUUAUUUCUACGUACCUGGAUCUGUGGGCGGGGGGAAUAUCAUGGGGCAGGCACUGGGGGGCACAAUAUCCCAAAUAGCCGUAUUUGCAUCACAACCCUUGGAUGAGGUGAUUGCCCAACGUCGCCCAUCAUCAUCCCGGCAGGUUAAGUCCAGGAUGCCAUCCCCGUCACAGUCUGCACUCUGCAGGACUGCGGUGUCAUGGAUGCACCACCCGGAUGGCCUGGUGCAUGAAGCUGCGGCAAAAAAAACAGCAACGAUAAUAAUUGAUCAAUGCCAGAAGCAGAUAGGGCAGGUGGCCUAGCUAGGAAAGGCCACAUGAAGGGUGGAGGCCAGACCAGCUGGAAAUGAAAGGCCAGGCAGUGUAACUACGAUUUCUAGACGCAUUGAGCAGGUCGGUGCCACAAAGAGACUCAGGGCUUGCUUGCCAGCAGCCGUAGGAUAACCGUACAUGCAUGCAUGCAUGCAUGCAUGCAUGCCACCAAUACAUUCGGUGAUUGAGCAUAGCUAUGCGCUUGCAUGCAUGUUUUGUGCGAUUGGGCAUAUGUAUACAGUUGCCAAAUGUGAUGCCUGGGGGGCUUCAGGUAAGGUGCACACACUGCUGCAAUUCACUGCUCCGAAGCAAGUGGGGUUGAACAAUGAUAUGCUAUGAUAAUUCCGAGGGGCAAUGCCGGUUCGAGGGAAUUCCCUCGAAUCAUCUCAAUUUCAUCGCAACGGCUGGGUUAUUACUACGUACCUGGAUCUGUGGGUGGCGAGAAUAUCUUGGGGCAGGCACUGGGGGGCACAAUAUCCCAAAUAGCCGCAUUUGCAUCACAGCCCGUGGAUGAGGUGAUCGCCCAACGUCGCCCAUCAUCAUCCCGGCAGGUAACAUCCAGGGCGCCAUCCCCGUCACAGUCUGCACUCUGCAGGACUGAGCUGUUGUGGAUGCACCACCCGGAUGGCCUGGUGCAUGAAGCUGGAACUGCGGCAAAAGCCAGCAACGAUAAUAAUCGAUCGGUGUCAGAAGCAACAGAAACAUUUCUAGAUGAAUGGAGCAGCAGGUCGGUGCCAUAAGGAAACGCAGCUCGCCUGCCAGGGUUUUAAAACCCCUAGGGCGCCUGCCAGUAGGAAAACCGUACAUGUGUCCAUGCCACCGAUACAAUCGCUGAUUUAGCAUAAUUAUGCGCUCGCGUGAAUGUGUUGUGUGACUGGCUGGGCAUAUGUACAUGCUCAUACAGUUGCUAAAUGCGAUGCCUGAGGGGCACUGCAAUUACUCCCGCCCUUGCUUGCUUACAGGAUCUCGUAGGUUGAAGCAUGAUAUGCUACAUACGAUGAUUCCCCUGAACCAUCUCAGAUUAUUCAUCACAUACAACUGCUGGGUUAUUUCUACGUACCUGGAUCUGUGGGGGGGGGGAAUAUCAUGGGGCAGGCACUGGGGGGCACAAUAUCCCAAAUAGCCGUAUUUGCAUCACAACCCUUGGAUGAGGUGAUUGCCCAACGUCGCCCAUCAUCAUCCCGGCAGGUUAAGUCCAGGAUGCCAUCCCCGUCACAGUCUGCACUCUGCAGGACUGCGGUGUCGUGGAUGCACCACCCGGAUGGCCUGGUGCAUGAAGCUGCGGCAAAAAAAACAGCAACGAUAAUAAUUGAUCAAUGCCAGAAGCAGAUCGGGCAGGUGGCCUAGCUAGGAAAGGCCACAUGAAGGGUGGAGGCCAGACCAGCUGGAAAUGAAAGGCCAGGCAGUGUAACUACGAUUUCUAGAUGCAUCGAGCAGGUCGGUGCCACAAAGAGACUCAGGGCUUGCUUGCCAGCAGCCGUAGGAUAACCGUACAUGCAUGCAUGCAUGCAUGCAUGCCACCAAUACAUUCGGUGAUUGAGCAUAGCUAUGCGCUUGCAUGAAUGUUUUGUGCGAUUGGGCAUAUGUAUACAGUUGCCAAAUGUGAUGCCUGAGGGGCUUCAGGUAAGUUGCACACACUGCUGCAAUUCACUGCUCCGAAGCAAGUGGGGUUGAACAAUGAUAUGCUAUGAUAAUUCCGAGGGGCAAUGCCGGUUCGAGGGAAUUCCCUCGAACC
rnacentral:lncRNA from 1 species